rnacentral:ncRNA from 1 species
AAAACUGACUUACAACACUCACAGGAAAAGAGAUGUUAGUUCUAAUUGAUCACAUUCAAAUUCAGAGAAACCCUGGAAUGAACAAAAUGGGCAAUCCUAAGCCAAAUCCUAUUUUCUGAAAACAAAAAAAAGGUUAAGAAAAAAAUGAUAGGUGCAGAGACUCAAUGGAAGCUAUUCUAACAAAUGGAGUUACAUGUGUUGGUAGAAGAAUCUUUACAUCGAAAAUUCAGAAAG